rnacentral:rRNA from 1 species
GCUUGUCUCAAAGAUUAAGCCAUGCAUGUCUUAGUGUAAAUAACUCUUAUGAAACUGCGAAUGGCUCAUUAUAUCAGUUAUAGUUUAUUUGAUGGUUCAUACUACUUGGAUAACCGUAGUAAUUCUAGAGCUAAUACAUGCGUCAAAACCCAACUUCUGGGAGGGUUGUAUUUAUUAGAUGGAAACCAAUGCGGGGCAACCCGGUAUAUGGUGAUUCAUAAUAACUUUCGGAUCGAUCUUCGGAUCGAUGCAUCAUUCAAGUUUCUGCCCUAUCAGCUUUGGAUGGUAGGGUAUUGGCCUACCAUGGCUUUAACGGGUAACGGAGAAUUAGGGUUCGAUUCCGGAGAGGGAGCCUGAGAAAUGGCUACCACAUCCAAGGAAGGCAGCAGG